GGAGGGGUGGCCGAGCGGUUUAAGGCACCAGUCUUGAAAACUGGCAGGGGCGCAAGUCCCUCGUGGGUUCGAAUCCCACCCCCUCCG
rnacentral:tRNA from 1 species